rnacentral:rRNA from 1 species
GCUGUCGUCAGCUCGUGUUGUGAAAUGUUGGGUUAAGUCCCGCAACGAGCGCAACCCUUAUCCUUUGUUGCCAGCGGUCCGGCCGGGAACUCAAAGGAGACUGCCAGUGAUAAACUGGAGGAAGGUGGGGAUGACGUCAAGUCAUCAUGGCCCUUACGACCAGGGCUACACACGUGCUACAAUGGCGCAUACAAAGAGAAGCGACCUCGCGAGAGCAAGCGGACCUCAUAAAGUGCGUCGUAGUCCGGAUUGGAGUCUGCAACUCGACUCCAUGAAGUCGGAAUCGCUAGUAAUCGUGGAUCAGAAUGCCACGGUGAAUACGUUCCCGGGCCUUGUACACACCGCCCGUCACACCAUGGGAGUGGGUUGCAAAAGAAGUAGGUAGCUUAACCUUCGGGAGGGCGCUU